CAUAUCAAUAAGCGGAGGAAAAGAAACCAACAGGGAUUGCCCCAGUAACGGCGAGUGAAGCGGCAACAGCUCAAAUUUGAAAUCUGGCCCCUAGGGUCCGAGUUGUAAUUUGUAGAGGAUGCUUUUGGUGAGGUGCCGCCCGAGUUCCCUGGAACGGGACGCCGCAGAGGGUGAGAGCCCCGUCUGGCUGGCCACCGAGCCUCUGUAAAGCUCCUUCGACGAGUCGAGUAGUUUGGGAAUGCUGCUCAAAAUGGGAGGUAUAUGUCUUCUAAAGCUAAAUAUUGGCCAGAGACCGAUAGCGCACAAGUAGAGUGAUCGAAAGAUGAAAAGCACCUUGAAAAGAGGGUUAAACAGUACGUGAAAUUGUUGAAAGGGAAGCGCUUGUGACCAGACUUGGGCGCGGCGGAUCAUCCGGGGUUCUCCCCGGUGCACUUCGCCGUGUUCAGGCCAGCAUCAGUUCGGCGCGGGGGAAAAAGGCUUCGGGAACGUGGCUCCUCCGGGAGUGUUAUAGCCCGUUGCAUAAUACCCUGCGCUGGACUGAGGACCGCGCAUCUGCAAGGAUGCUGGCGUAAUGGUCACCAGCGAC
rnacentral:rRNA from 1 species